CCCAUGCAAUUGACGAGGCCCAGAAGGGAGCAGUCGAGUGGGGGAUUUGUGGAGUUACUGGCGUCCUUGGGUUGAAGG
rnacentral:SRP_RNA from 13 species